GGGACCCUCACCUUCCAGGAGGAUGACAAAGAACUUGACUGCACAGCAGAAACCAGGAUACAUACCAUCACCACUGUUUCUCUCUUUGAGAGGUGUUUGCUGGCUCCAAAGAAUAUCUGCCCAUGAAAGUUUAUGCUUGGGAACUCCAUCUUGGACAGAAAGACCCUUAAGAAGGAGAUGGCUUGGAAACGUCUGGAAAUUGUGGAGAUGGCUAGCUUCCACAUGAACGGACAAAGAACUGGAGUGGAAAAGCUGCGACGGGGGUAAAAAACAAAAACAAAAAA